rnacentral:rRNA from 1 species
GAUGAACGCUGGCGGCGUGCCUAAUACAUGCCAGUCGAGCGAACAGACGAGGAGCUUGCUCCUCUGACGUUAGCGGCGGACGGGUGAGUAACACGUGGAUAACCUACCUAUAAGACUGGGAUAACUUCGGGAAACCGGAGCUAAUACCGGAUAAUAUGUUGAACCGCAUGGUUCAAUAGUGAAAGACGGUUUUGCUGUCACUUAUAGAUGGAUCCGCGCCGCAUUAGCUAGUUGGUAAGGUAACGGCUUACCAAGGCAACGAUGCGUAGCCGACCUGAGAGGGUGAUCGGCCACACUGGAACUGAGACACGGUCCAGACUCCUACGGGAGGCAGCAGUAGGGAAUCUUCCGCAAUGGGCGAAAGCCUGACGGAGCAACGCCGCGUGAGUGAUGAAGGUCUUCGGAUCGUAAAACUCUGUUAUUAGGGAAGAACAAAUGUGUAAGUAACUAUGCACGUCUUGACGGUACCUAAUCAGAAAGCCACGGCUAACUACGUG